CACAAAUGGGCGGCCAUUGGAUGUGGGACACGCCAAGAACUGGCAGCCAUUGGAGAUUUGGACAACCCAAGAUGGCGGCUAUUGGUGACACAAGAUGGCGGCCAUUGGGUUUGGACACCCAAGAUGGCGGCCAUUGGUGACACAAGAUGGCGGCCAUUGGCUUUGGACACCCAAGAUGGCGGCCAUUGGAUUUGGACACCCAAGAUGGCGGCUAUUGGUGACACAAGAUGGCGGCCAUUGAACAUGGACACUCAAGAUGGCGGCAUUGAAAAUUGGAAUAUUAGCUUUGGGGACAACAAGAUGGCGGCCAUUGGUGACACAAGAUGGCGGCCAUUGGCUUUGGACACCCAAGAUGGCGGCCAUUGCCAUUGGAUAUUGGCUUUGGUGACACAAGAUGGCGGCCAUUGGCUUUGGACACCCAAGAUGGCGGCAGUGUGCUUUGGACAUAGACCCAAAGAUGGCGGCCAUUGUGGACAACAAAGAUGGCGGCAAUUGGCUAGGACACCCAAGAUGGUGGCCAUUGCCAUUGGACAUUGGCUUUGAUGACACAAGAUGGCGGCCAUUUGGCUUUUGGACAUCCCAGAUGACAGCGCCAUGCCAGUUGGAUCAAUUGGCUUUGAUGACAGCAGAAGAUGGCGGGCCAUUGGGAUUGCACCCAAGAUGGCGGCCAUUGGCUUUGGACACCCAAGAUGGCGGCCAUUGGUGACACAAGAUGGCAGCCAUUGGCUUUGGACACUGAAGAUGGCGGCCAAUGGACCCAUCAGAAAGCCAAUAUGGUCAUAAAUUGGACCCAAUCGAGAAACCAAUUGGACCCAUCAGAACCCUUGGGACCCAUCAGAACCCAUUGGGACCCAUCAAACCAAAUUGGACCAUCAGAACCAUUGGACCCAUCAGAACCGAAUUGGGACCAUCAGAACGCCAUUGGACCAUCAGAACCAAUUGGACCCAUAUCAAAGCAACCAAUUGCGGUCAGCAAUGGACCCAGUCAGCCCCAUUGGACCCAUCAGAACCAAUUGGGAGACCCUCAGAACCAAUUGGGACCCAUCAGAACCAAUAUUGGGUCAGCAUUGGACCCAUCAGAACCAAUUGGACCCAUCAGAACCCAUUGGGACCCAUCAGAACCCAUUGGGACCCAUCAGAACCCAUUGGGACCCAUCAGAACCAAUUGGGACCCAUCAGAACCAAUUGGACCCAUCAGAACCCAUUGGACCCAUCAGAACCAUUGUGACCCCAUGCAGAACCAAUGUGGACCCCAUCAGAACCGCAUUGCGGAACCCAUCAAACCAAUUGGCCAUCAAGAACCCAUUGGACCCAUCAGAACAAAUAUUGGUCAGCAUUGGACCCAUCAGAACAAUAUGGGAACCCAUCAGAACCCAUUGGACCAUCAGGAACCAAUUGCGGACCAUCAGAACCCACUUGGACCCAUCAGAACCCAUUGGACCCAUCAGAACCCAUUGGGACCCAUCAGAAACCAAUAUGGGUCAGUAUAUGGGACCAUCAAACCAAUUGGACCCAUGCAGAACCAAAUUGAAACCCAUCAGAUACCCAUUGGGACCACAUCAGCAACCCAUUGGACCCGUAUUAGGGGGGGUCCCUAUAGUUUGUAGUGUUGGGCUGGGAUAUAGGGUUGUUUUAUGGGGGCGGCGGGCGGCAUAUUUUGGGGUAGAAAUGAGAAGUUGGGGUUUGUGGGGGGGGGAGGAGAUUUUGGGGGUGUUUUGUAAUAAAGAAGUGAAAGAAAUUGAGGGGUUCUUUUUU
ensembl:lncRNA